GACGAACCGAGCGAACGUUGUUCGGAAUCACUGGGCUUAAAGGGCGCGUAGGCGGGCUGUCAAGUCUGGGGUGAAAUCCCACGGCUCAACCGUGGAACUGCCUUAGAUACUGACGGCCUCGAGGGAGAUAGGGGCGAGCGGAACUGUGAGUGGAGCGGUGAAAUGCGUUGAUAUUCACAGGAACUCCGGCGGCGAAGGCGGCUUGCUGGAUCUUUUCUGACGCUGAGGCGCGAAAGCUAGGGGAGCAAACGGG
rnacentral:rRNA from 1 species